GACGAAGGAUGCAAGCGUUUAUCCGGAUUCAUUGGGUUUAAAGGGAGCGUAGGUGGCCUUAUAAGUCAGUGGUGAAAUCUCUGGGCUUAACCCAGAAAUUGCCAUUGAUACUGUAGGGCUUGAGUAUAGUUCCGUUGGCGGAAUAUGACAUGUAGUGGUGAAAUACAUAGAGAUGUCAUAGAACACCGAUUGCGAAGGCAGCUGACGAAACUAUAACUGACACUGAGGCUCGAAAGUGUGGGGAUCAAACAGG
rnacentral:rRNA from 1 species